GACAGAGGAUGCAAACGUUGCUCGGAAUUACUGGGCGUAAAGCGCGCGUAGGCGGCUUUGCAAGUCGGGUGUGAAAUCCCCAGGCUUAACCUGGGAACUGCAUUCGAGACUGCAUUGCUAGAGUAUGGGAGAGGGAAGUGGAAUUUCCGGUGUAGCGGUGAAAUGCGUAGAUAUCGGAAGGAACAUCAGUGGCGAAAGCGACUUCCUGGACCAAUACUGACGCUCAUGUGCGAAAGCGUGGGGAGCAAACAGG
rnacentral:rRNA from 1 species